rnacentral:rRNA from 1 species
UACGUAGGGGGCAAGCGUUGUCCGGAAUUAUUGGGCGUAAAGAGCGCGUAGGCGGUCCGAUAAGUCGGCUGUGAAAGUCAGGGGCUCAACCCUUGGAAGCCGGCCGAUACUGUCGGACUAGAGUCCGGAAGAGGCGAGUGGAAUUCCCGGUGUAGCGGUGAAAUGCGUAGAUAUCGGAAGGAACAUCAGUGGCGAAGGCGACUUCCUGGACCAAUACUGACGCUCAGGUGCGAAAGCGUGGGGAGCAAACAGG